rnacentral:rRNA from 1 species
UACGUAGGGGGCGAGCGUUGUCCGGAUUUAUUGGGCGUAAAGAGCUCGUAGGCGGUUCGGUAAGUCGGAUGUGAAAUCUCCACGCUCAACGUGGAGGGGCCAUUCGAUACUGCCGUGACUCGAGUCCGGAAGAGGAGAGUGGAAUUCCCGGUGUAGCAGUGAAAUGCGUAGAGAUCGGGAGGAACAUCAGUUGCGAAGGCGGCUCUCUGGACCAGCACUGACACUGAGGCACGAAAGCGUGGGGAGCAAACAGG